CUCUCGGGCCCAGCCGGGCUGCCUGGUUAGCCCGGGGAGGGCCACAUCCCUGCCGCCCCAGUCACCGCCCUUCUUGAGCCGGGAAUCCCGCCCACGCCGCGCCACGCUCCGCCCCCGGGUGAGGGACUUGACCUCCGCCUGGCACCCUGGCGUAAGGGUGAUUGCCACAUCUCGGAUUCGCCGCGGGGCAACUACCUGGGAAAACCGCAGACUGGGCAAUGAAAGACUACAUCCGGCAACCGGAUGCUGGGUUCUGUGACUCCAGGAAAAGGGGCUCCUGGGCCCAGGGAGAACAUACUAGGCGAUCUCGACAGUCGCUCCGUGACAGCCCACCAACCCCCAACCCUCUACCUCGCAGCCACCCUAAAGGCGACUUCAAGAAGAUGGAAGGAUCUCACGGAUCUCAUUCCUAAUGGUCCGCCGAAGUCUCACACAGUAGACAGACGGAGUUGAGAUGCUGGAGGAUGCAGUCACCUCCUAAACUUACGACCCACCACCAG
rnacentral:lncRNA from 1 species